rnacentral:rRNA from 1 species
AAAGCCUGAUGCAGCGACCCCGCGUGGGGGAUGACGGCCUUCGGGUUGUAAACCCCUUUCAGUAGGGAAGAAGCGAGAGUGACGGUACCUGCAUAAGAAGCGCCGGCUAACUACGUGCCAGCAUCCGCGGUAAUACGUAGGGCGCAAGCGUUGUCCGGAAUUAUUGGGCGUAAAGAGCUUGUAGGUGGCUUGUCGCGUCUGCCGUGAAAACCCGAG